GUCCAACUUCUCAUCUCUGUAUCUCUGUUCUUCAUGUACUACAGGCUUUUUUCUGUAGUUAAGUCAGAAAGCCAUGUAGACUUGCCUGCCCUUUGAAGACAGACUUUUAAGACUUCUAGGAAGAUAGCUGGUUACCUGGAAGUCAUGGAUGGAUUCUCUCUGCCUGGAAUAAGAAAUGACCCUCCCAAGAGAGGGCAGAUGCACAAUGUGUUUGGGAAAGAAGUAUCAUUGGAUUAUUCUUUGAAUCUGCGUCAUGAAAAUUUGAUUUGUUAAUUCACAUGCCUGACAACAUAAUGCUACAGAUCUUCUCUUUUCUUGAUUUGGAUGACAUUGGGCAGCUCUCAAAAACCUGCAAAAAAAUUCCAAAAGAUGUGUAACAGUGAAGAACUUGGGGAGAAAUUUAACAUGUUACAAGACAAACAUGCUUUUGACACAAAGAAGGAUAGACACUUACAAGAAGUUGUAAGCUUUCCACCAAAAUGCAGGCCAACAGAAACACACAGAGAAGACAGCAUUUUUCUAAACUUGACUGAAGUGACAAACUUUUAAAAGUAAGGAUUUAAACUGAAUUUUCAUAUAAUAAUGACUAUCAUUAAACCUUACUAAAGCUGACACUGGGUGGAAG
rnacentral:lncRNA from 1 species